ACGAAUGCCGAGAAGUUUGUAUAUUCCAACAUGAUGAAAAUUUACACUUGUUAACGUACUUCUUUUCCAAUAAAAUAAUGAAGUUUUACAAAAUAAAGGAGGAUUUAAAGACACUGAUUCGAAAAGGAGAAUAGUUCGGCUAAUCUUGUGGAGAAACAAAUCAUAAGAUGAAACUGAUUGUAUUUUGUUUCGUAUUCAUCGCUAUUACAUAUGCUCAGAAGCUGGAAACGAAUAAAACUUCUGCGUUGUGUGACAAGUAUUCUUGUAAAUACAAUUACCUAUGUUAUAAAUCUGGUUCCAUUAUCAAAACCCUUUUUCAUUGCUGUACAUACUUGAAAUGUAAAAAGGGAAUCAUUAGAGCGACUAUUGUUGGAAAGUCCAAAAAAUGUGGAUGCUGCAGAGAUCCUUUUAAUGGUCCAUAUGGGAUGAUU
rnacentral:lncRNA from 1 species